GAUCCUUGUCUACCUGAGGCUUCCUAAGGUAUCAUAUUUAAAAUGUGGGGUCCAGAGUCUCUGCAAAGGCACAGUGACUUUCAUACUCAGUAUUCUCCAGAGGCUCAGAUGGGGUAGCAACAAUUAAAUAUGUCACAUGGAGCCUCCUGAAAGAUGUAUUUGUGAUUUCUAACGACUUUCUCUUAACAAAAGAAGAGUUGGAAUUCAGACUUCUGUUCAUCAGACUAUGAGAGUCACAUUAGUGGGAAAUGAUGAAAACAAGAAAACCCUGCAUGCAGUAAUGAAAAUUUUAUAAUUUCUUUAUGGACUGCUGGUUUUGAGAAAUAACAGAGUAGAUUAGAAAGAGGAAAGGACUCUACACUGCAAGUUUUUUCUUGAUCAAUUUUUAAAUCAGGCUCAUACUAAAAACUACACCUUCAAAUGGAUUUGUGCACAGAGAGAAAUAUGAUCUCAUGUAGAAUGUAUGAUACUAUUGAUUGUAUAUGAUGUUAUUGAUAUAUUGACAUUGUAAAAUUCCUUACAGCUAAAGAGAGGACACUCGAUGAUAACGAAGACAUUGGUACUGUGGUUACACAGCAGAUAUUUUAAGCCUGAGUUCUCAUUAUUUGUUGUGUUUGUAUGCAUUUCAACAAAUAGUUGCACUACAAGUAUUAAUGAGAUGUUUCAAAGCCAGUAGCUAACCAGUGAUGGCUAGGAGCGAAUGAGAUACAAUUUAAUGAUAAAUCUACUCAAUAUCAGUAGCAAGGGAAAGACCACAUCUAACAAUCCUAUAUCUGAAUGAAAUCUGAAUGUCAGAAUCUUUUUUUUUUUUUUCUGUGUUCUUAGACAGCACUCUUUCAAACGUAACUACCAGCAGUUGCGGCUAUUUUGACAGCUACAGAAAAUAAACAGCAUGACUGUUUGGAGGCUUUGAGCAUAGUGACUACUAUCCCUGAUUGUUUUUUUUUAUGAUUUAUUAUACUUCCUGUUCAGCCUAAUCAGUCCUGUAAACUGUUGCUACAGCUCCUUGGACAAAGCAUUUACUUGGGGCCUCAGAACAGCUGAUUUACUAAUUUAUUUAGUGUUGACCUAGGUUUUCAAACUAUGAAAUAAAAGGUAGACUUACUUAAAGAGAAUGCUGAACCGCCAAACCAUCUGGAUGGAGAAGGAAUUUCAGUAAUUUGAAGUUUCACUCUUCUGGAAAAGUGUUUUAUUUUUUGCUGUGUGUAAAGCCUCUCAAAACUUGUCCAGAGUGAAAAUGACCUUUCCAGAGAAACCAGUACUCAUUAUUUGCAUGUUCUAAUAUUUCUUAUUGUUAAAAAUUAUCUAUAAAAUAUUAACCCUUGCAUAACACACCCUAAACUCAAAGGCUCCUGGUUUAGAACUGCUGAAGUUGAAGAAGAUUAAACGUUAUGCUGAUUUUCAUUAUCAUAUUUUGUGUGGGUGUUUUUUCCCCAGAUCUGCAUACAAAGACUGC